rnacentral:rRNA from 1 species
GUCCACGCCGUAAACGAUGCUAACUGGAUUUUGUACGGAAAGUACGGAGAGUCUGAGGGAACCAUUAAGUUAGCCACCUGGGGAGUACGUUCGCAAGAAUGAACUCAAAGGAAUUGACGGGGUCCGCACAAGCGGUGGAGCAUGUGGUUUAAUUCGAUGAUACGCGAGGAACCUUACCUGGGCUCGAAUGGUAGAGGAAUAUGGGUGAAAGCUUAUAGCGUAGCAAUACGUCUCUAUCAAGGUGCUGCAUGGUUGUCGU